rnacentral:rRNA from 1 species
UACGGAGGAUCCAAGCGUUGUCCGGAUUUAUUGGGUUUAAAGGGUGCGUAGGCGGAUCAAUAAGUCAGUGGUGAAAUUCUGCAGCUUAACUGUAGACUUGCCAUUGAUACUGUUGGUCCUGAGUAUGGUCAAGGUAGGCGGAAUGUGUAAUGUAGCGGUGAAAUGCUUAGAUAUUACACAGAACACCGAUUGCGAAGGCAGCUUACUGGGCCAUUACUGACGCUGAUGCACGAAAGCGUGGGGAUCGAACAGG